GACAGAGGGUGCAAACGUUGUUCGGAAUUACUGGGCGUAAAGCGCGUGUAGGCGGCUUGGCAAGUCGGGUGUGAAAGCCCCGGGCUCAACCUGGGAAGUGCACUCGAAACUGCUUGGCUUGAGUACUGGAGAGGGAAGCGGAAUUCUCGGUGUAGAGGUGAGAUUCGUAGAUAUCGAGAGGAACACCGGUGGCGAAGGCGGCUUCCUGGACAGUUACUGACGCUGAGACGCGAAAGCGUGGGGAGCAAACAGG
rnacentral:rRNA from 1 species